AUGUAAAAUAUGAGGUGAAUUCAAAUUAGAAUUAAAAUAAGAGAUAAAAUCAUUUUGGGGUCCAGUUUUAAACUCCUACAAUCCUUUCACCAUAGUUUAAAACACUUUGCUACUAUUAAAAAUCGUGGAAAAUAGCAAUAAGAAAAAAAGUAUGGCCUGGUUUCACAGACAGGGCUUAGACUAAGCCAGGAUAAGGCCAUAGUUCAAUUAGGACAUUUAAGUAAUUUUUAUAAACAUGCCUUAGAAAAAAGCUCAGAUUUACAUUUUAGUCUGGCAUUAGGCUUAAGCCUUGUCUGUGAAACUGGGGGUAUAUGUCCAACACUUUUGACUGGCAGUGUAGGUUUCUUUGAACAGUAUUAGGUGUAGCAGCAGACCACUCCAUUACCAUUGAGAGCCAGGUUGCUUUUGCUGAGCCUUUGGAAUGUGCUCGGUGCUAUGUUUGGGUCUGGGGGUCUUCGCUGCGGGUGUCGGGGGCAGCGGCAGGAACCACACUGUGCCUAUGAACUCUAUUCAAACUCUGAAAUGCCUCUGCCUAGGCAGGAAAUUGAAAUAUUGGGCUGUAUGAGCAGGCCAAUGACCAUCUAUCAUGGCAUGUUGGCUCAAGGAGAGGAACUCCAUAGAUCAGAGAUAGGCUGCCGAGUCUACAGGUUAAGAGGUAAAAAGACAAGAAGAGAGCGCCUUGCAGGGGGUCCAGUUUUAAACUCCUAUAGAAUCCUUUCACCUUAAAAAAAAAAAUACAAAAAACUGGGCCCCUCUUUCACUCAUCCAGCAGUGGAGGGGGCAUUAGUCAGGGAUAGAAAAUCUUUAGUAUUUAUUUUCUUAACUCAGAAGAGGUAUAGGCAAGAAGACUAUAGGCCAGUGACAAACACAGGCAAGGCCAAUGUCAACUACAAACACUCAUGCAACACCAAAAUGCCUGAAUAACACAUGACCGUAUAACUUUGCAAAUAAACACUGUAGUCUGUUCAAAUACUAUGACCAUAAUGGCAAUUUUUCAACACUAAAUGUAUGUAGAGGAGAUCAGGAAUUUGCAACUCCCUCCAUCAGCUUAACAAAAUCAUACCACCUGCCACCUAACGGUACAGCAGAAGUCGACAGUAUACGUUUUUGUAUAAACCUUUAAAUGACAAAAAGCAAUACUGAGACGAAAAAGAUUUAUAUACAAAUACACAGCCUAUUUGGAAUUAACUACUGUAAUUUGUAGGCAGACAACUAUGGUAAUAAAACAUCAAAGUUUAAGUAAAUAAAUACCAAAAACAACAACAACAAAACUCACUUUUAAGGCGUUUAAAUGCAAUCUGUAAUCACAUACAUAUUCAUUGGAUUUUUGUAGGCUACAGAUUAAAAUUCCACCAUGUUUUUGUCAACAAACUUUCUAGAAGAAUAUUUAAGAAAGGCCUUUAGGGCAGUUUGAUAAAGGUCACUUACAUAAAACAUUUCCUGUAAACGUAUUUGACUCGAUCAAUUUGCGAUUAUAUAAAAGUAAAUGCGCCACAGUCCGCGGAUGCGCGAAAUAAGCAGGAUGUUGAAUAUCACUUUAAAUUUUUCAAAACACUAAACCCGACAGAUUUAAUUUCUUUCUAAUAACCGCUCGCUUGGCCCUAUAGACCAACGCGGUCAAGCGAGCGGAAAAAUUGCUCCCAAUUAGUGGUUUUGAAACGACUCAAGGUAUGUGGCACUCAUACAGGAAAUGACAUCAACGGGUCAAACCUAAAAAUAUGUCGCAGGGCGGACGGUGAUUGUGGGACGCCCUGAACCUGCUCUGUACUGGAUGCUUCGAGACAGGUUUCUAUAGUUUUGGGAGGUGGAUGCUGAGGACCUGAGCUGAGUGAGCGCUUCUCAACCAUCACUUUCAUCCUCUGCAAGUUCAGCGCAGACGACACACUUUCUCUGUGACGCCGAGCCGGUGGGCUGUCGCAGGUGCAGCUGCUGUCUGGGGCAGAGAGAGGAGACAAACACCACAGACAGUGAAUGCUGGAGUGUUAACAGUUGAUGGAAACGUCGUUAUAUGUCGUGGGCCAGUUGUCUCUUUGAAGUUCUGUAACUAGGGAGUUAACAAGUUAAUAUCAGAGGACAGACGGAUGCAUCACAAGAGGUCUGUGUAAUCAAUUCUGUGAACUCAACAUCUAAAGGAGAGAUGGGCCUUCUGAUCACUUCCCCAACUGAAGUUCAGCCAUCCUCUGAGCCUGCAACUAUCAACGCUUUCAAACUUGCACAAGAACUGAACCGAGGUAUACCUGACACAGCUUCCAUUACUAUAUGUAUUUUUAGCUGAUGUGUAUGUCACAUGUAAGUAUGCUUGGGCCUGUGGGCCAGGUAAAGAGAAACGAGCGUGUGCACGUCUUUAAGUUGAUCUCACUGUUAACCUCACAGCAUUACACCAGCACCUUGAGGCCAUAGUGAACAGUGAUGGAUGGUGGAGUGGAUAAAGCAGGCUCAGGGGGCCAACCGGGGCUCAGCAUUUCUCCCCAAGCUAUUUCAAUUACAGAUUGAGCAAGCAUACUCUCUGUGAUGAUAUGUAGCUUAAAGGCCGUGACAUUAAUGGUUGGGACAAAUCGGAUUUGGUUUGGUGCUGACCUGUCACUCUAGGGCGUAGAACUAGAUGGAAGAGUGAGGCGGUAAAAAAAAAAAGCUUUACUUUAACCUACCUCUGCUACAAAAUAUGCUUGGUACAAUAACACCACUAAGGAAGCUAUAGAUAUUGUAAACCAAAAUGUUUGACUGAUCAGUCUUUUUAGACUGUGUAACAUGCAUUUAGCUCACCAAAACAUAUAAAUAUGUGUGUCAUUUUAAUUCCUCAUUAGCUGAGUCUAGUGCCUGGAUCAGUAUUGGCUUUGCAGGACUCGUGUCUUUGAUUUUAGUGUUGGUCAGAUGUUUUUCCCUUUUCAACAUGCACAAAUAGCUUGACAACUUUAUGUAUGAAGGUCAUUCUGCACCAUGUCUUGAAUCAUGGACUAUUUUAAAACAAAUGUAGAGUUACUAUAAUUCACUGGAUAAAGCUAAAUAAAUCCUGGUUUAGAUGUAUUGAUUGGCUUGGGGAACAAAAAAUCUGUGCACGUGAAAGGAUCGAAUGUACUUCUUAGAAUCUUUAGCCCUACAUUAGAGAGGAAUAGAAACAAGGUAAUUAACACAUCCAUCACUGGCUUAUCCUCCGUAUCUCCUGCAUUAGCAUAAACGUGCAUUACAGCUGUUGUAAAUGUAACAAUUCAUUUUUACACCAGUUACGUAAGUGUAAGUUAUGUAAUUUCAUUUUAUAUCUGAAGGGGUUCAACAUAUUUUCAGUCUGCUAAAAGAAUAAAAAAGUCAUAUGUCAUGAAAAUGAAUGCCGUGAUGUGGAGGCAGCACAAAUCCCCUUUGGCUUGUUAGAUAUCAGGUCACUGCAGUCUCACAUUGAGAUUGGUGGAGCAGUUUCUGGAGGGAGGGGCCCAGAGUGAAUAAAGGUGGGCUUUGGUGAACCUUUACCCCUGUGAGUAUUUAAGUGCUGCAUGAUUUUUGCUGCAUGGCUUUUAUCGCUACAAUUACUGCUUGUUAGGACUCCAUACUCACCGCCUUAGCAACUCCAGUGAGUUAAAGGUCAAGAGAUAUUUUAAGCCAAUUUAACUAUUAACCAUGUAGCCAUUAUGUAAAAUCUAAAUACGUUUUAUAUAUCCAUAAAAUGUGCAUAUACAUGUUCCAACCAGAUAUCAUUUUCAUGAUGAUCUUUCUGAUUUAAAUAACCAGUGAUUUUGGAUACUAAGUAUAUUGAUGAACUCCAUAAUAGGUUUGUUUAUAAUUUUACUCUGCCUUCUGAACAAGUCAGUGGCAUUUUUGUUUACAAUGCCUAAUAAGACAAAUAAGAGCUGGAUAUAAUUAGGCCUGCUUGUGCAGGGCCAUAUUCCCUUUCAAUCAGUUGAAACUAACUCUGUUAAUUAAUCUUCAGAGCAGUUAUUUUCCCCAAAUAAUUUCCUUAAUAGCAACUGGGUUCCUUAGAUCUUUACUCAGCACUGCAUAUUUUCUCUUUAUUUUUAUUUCCCGUUUUGUUUGUUUUUCCCCCCUCUCUGAAAUCCUAGUGGCCCACAUAUUAGAUCUACGAUGUGAAAUACACAUUUUCUUUUCUUGGUUUUUUUUUUUUUUUUUAGGAAGGCUGCAACACAUACAGUACUAGAGACUAUUAUUAGGUUCACAGUUGCUUUUCUUUUAGACCUGGCCUGUGUAUUUCCCAAAUGAAAACAUUAGCCUCUCAUUUUGCUUAUCUCAUAUUUUAUCACCGAUAGGCCUAGAUGCCCUUGGUAUGCUGAUAACAAAACAAGAGAAAGUGAUGAUCCAUGAUGUAUGCAUGGAGAUCUCAUUGUGAAAUCAUGCAUUUAUAAAUGACUUUUUAAGAGAAACAGAAUUUGAUUUAUGCUAAAUGCCAUUUACCAUUUUGCAUCCUAAAAAAACAUCCUCUCUGAAUCUACCACCUGCUGGUAGGGAGGAUCUGGUUGGGAGCUUUAUGCUGUCCUUCAGGUUUCUCAUACAUGUCAACUAGUCCUCUAAGCCAUGUGAGGAACCUUGUACCUUAUAGCUGAUUGGAAUCAAUUACCAAAGUAACAAGACGCUGAAUGUGCAAUAAACAUAUUAUUCUGUGUUGAUUAGAAGGCAAGAGUGUAUGAUGAGUUAUCAAAAUGCAAUACUAUUUGGAUUAAAUUUCUGCCUUUAAUUGGGUAGAUGAAAGAAGCAGUUAGUUGAGCUCAAUUCAAGAAUGUUUCUUUAUUUCAUAUGUGAAACCUUCAUUCCAUAAUGUUUAAGGAAAAAUGUAUGUCUCUAAUAUGCUUUGAUAGUUUUUUCUUUACACUCAUUGAAAUGUAAUUAUAUUUAUUUAUAUGUACUUUACUCUCUUUCGAUCUUGAAUUUCUUGUUGUGUAUUUGUACGCAAAUGUCAAUGAAAAUAUAAUGUUGUACUGUUGGAAUUAGGAUAAAGCAGUUAAGAAUAAACAUGACCACUUUCCCUAGAAGCACAUCACCUAAAUAAAUUUACACACACACAUGAAGGUUUGAAAUUAAGCAAACGUCAUUAUAAAUGACGAUAAACUGUAAUUUUGUGAUGUGGAGAUGUGGAAAAAAUAUUAAAUAUGCUGUAAAAAUAAACAUUAAAAUUGUUUAUUAACCAGUAUAUUCCAGUCUAGGUUUUGGUUGUUUAUUCAGAAAUGAUACUUCAUACUCUGCAAGUUCUGCAUACUCUUUAUUAAAAGUGUACGCACAAAACUAAAACUAAACUAACUAAAACUAAAAUAUAUUUAUAUGCUAAAACUUGCUAAAUAUGUUUUACAAAAAAGAAAAAAAAAACUGGCUAAGAUAUUGUAUAAAAGGAUUUUGAUUACAGACAGGAAAAUGUGGUAUGAAGUUAUAAAUUCGAAGUGGACAUUUAACACAUUACAGUUAACCAUAUACACACAGAGACAUUCAGAGCUGAAUGAUAUUUUAAAUGUAAACUUGUAGAGAUGUAGGCCCCCUGUUGGCCCCCCACUUAAAUGCCUCUAUACUGUCCUCUCAACUUGCUUUACUCCAAGCUGAGAGAGAGACAGCUAAACUUAGUUAAGUGGAUACAUUUACUGAGGGAAGUGCACUUUGAUGUGGGUCAAUUGGCAAAUGAACAGUGUCAAAUGAUAUCAUGACAGGGAUGCAAGGUGUGAUAGCUUUAAAGACGAUUCAGUGAGGACAGUGACCUGUAAUUCUAUCGUGAUAUCAACCUUUGCUUCACUCUGCAGUCUAUUUCAGAGUCAAAUGGCAUGUUUCUGUAGUUUGCACACAAACUUCAUUUGCUAUUGACAUAGCUUUGAGAUGAAAGCAAACCUGACUCGAGCUCUAUUGAUUGUUUUGCUGUGUUUUAUAUCUUUCAUGCAUUUUCAUACAGGCCUCAUCUUUUAUAAGUAUUGACUAAUUAUUGGAUUGCCCUGCUUACACAGGUCAUACAUAUCAAUUCUUGAAGACCAAACUUUUGUACAUGGAAAACUUGUUGCUUUAGCUAGUAUUGUUACCUCCCCAUCCCAACUUGAAUGUGUCCAGUGUUUUGUGCUUUCACUACAAAAGAAUGCUAAAUCUUCCAUACAUGUUUAUGAACUUUUCGGCCAUUGUGGUGACUCCUCUAUUUAUUUAAUACAAUUGUGCUGUGAACAGAAGAAAAAAUAAACAGACUGACUAAACAUACUAGUCGUAGUCUUUUUGCGAGUGAAAACUCUGUGUACAGACACAAAAGGGGGACGUUUUCACCGCCGGAAAGUAAAUUCUUUUGAAGUGGAACUAAUCAUCUGAGGGAUGGUUCUCGUUGUCCUAACAACGCAGCUGAAUUGGAAUGAGCCUCCCUUUUUGUUGUAUAUAUGUUUUCUUUCUUUCAUUCAAAACUGAUGAUGAUAGUAGUUUCACGCCCUGUCCACCCACAUUGUCGGCCUGAACCAAUUUUUUUUUUAGAUAAGUCCUUACAUAGAGACGCGUAGCCUACACACGGCGGGUGACUCUCCGGCUGUGACGUCAGCCGCACUCUUGUGUCUACAAAGCUUUACGCCUCUUAGUACCCUUAUAUUAAGAAGAAAACAAUCUCUCACAUCAGAACUGAUUGGAUGUCAAAUGACCGAAAAAACGUAGGCUACUUACUUCUACAUAUAACCUACCUACUUUUUAUUUUUCGCAAAAAUCGUUAGUUAGCGAACUUUGUUGUUAUAUUUUGCUCUCUAUAUCAUUCACGCAGUGAGAGUUAUCGCCAUCGUGAAGUUGUUCAAUAAAACAUCAACGUAAACACACGACGUUUAUUUUUCUGCGUUCAUAUAGCUAGCCCACAGGUCAUACAGGCUCCAAUGAUUAACCCACGACGGUGCCCUGAAGCCUCAAUGACCUUUCAGUCAAGAAUCCCAUCUCUUAAUUACCAUUACUAAAUCUUUCUCUCUUCCACCACCUUUUGCCUCGCAACGUUAUAAACGUUUGAGCUUUUAUGGAAUUCCGAAGAACCGAAACAUUUUAUUGUCACCACGGGGUUCAGGGUUCAGACAGCGGUCACAUGCUUGAAAAAAUAAACCAGUUGUGCUCGGUACCAAAGAAAAAACACUAAAGUUUCUCUCUCUCUCUCUCUCUCUCUCUCUCUCUCUCUCUCUCUCUCUCUCUCUCUCUCUCUCUAAUUAUUACUAAUUAAACAGCACUUCGUCUUUAAAUUACACGCACUUGAGUUCUUUCAGUUUAAUCAGUUUAUCAUACGGCCCGUCACGUAUGUAGCCUAAUGGAAGGGUCUGCUGGUGACCUGUUGUAAAAACGCCUAUUUUUUUUACUGAUUAAGCCGAAUAAUUGUUUAGUUGAUAUAAUAUAAAUUAUAUUGAGUCUAAUUAAUAUAGGCCUAGUCUGUGAGGGAACGUCUGGUUUUCUGUAAAAAGGUGUUUUUUUGGCAUGUCUUAUCUGGGUAGUUGCAUAUAAAAUCAAACUAUCUAGCCUAUUUGAAAGAAGAAGAAAACAAAACCAAUUAACAUUAGCUUUGAGUUCAAAUUGAUAUAGUAGCUACAUUUACAUGGAUUUUAUAUAUAUUUUCCCCUCUUGCGAGACCAUUUAAAAAAAUAAAUGAAUAUGAGCCAAAUUAAUCUACAUAAUAAUUAGAAAAUAAUUAGCAAAUUAAUUCUAAAAUAGUUUUAGAGUGUAGCAUGCCAAGUUCUCGAAUGUAUUCAGUAAACAACCCCUUGAAUAGAAUUGUUCGAUUUACAGAAAUUUUUGCUCUCAAUUUGUUAUUCUGAAUGAUUUAUUGUAGGCUAUUGUUACCAGGGUACCAGUGCUUUCUGAACUCUUUUGGCGGGUAUUCCAGGUGAGUGAUGUUGCUGUUGAGAGGUGGCACUAGAAACCCUUAAAGUAUACAACAGAUGAUGUCACACUGGGGAGGAUCCAGACUAAAGUGCGUGAAGCAGAACAGGCUCUAUCCUGUUGAGACUAAACGCUGCGUAGAAAGAGACAGCCAUGAAAAGACGCUGAGAAAAAAAGUAGCCUAGUAAACAAACGGAGCAUAGCUUUUGCUUUUCAGUAAGAUGUUCUCCACUGAGACUUCAGCGCCGGUGGCAACAGCAUACACGUCGGACAACAGUUGCAGCAUAUUAAACAACUUCUGCAGUUCACAAACAAAUGUUCUGGACUUUGAAAGCUUAGAUGAUCUGAAAUCGGUACACAUAUAGGCCUACUCAUACGCUCAUUAAAUUGGUUUAUGUUGUAAAAUCAAAGAUCAACCGAAAUCUCUCAGAUCAAAACCUUACACCGUUACAUAAACGUUAGAAACAAUUAUUUAAAACAAGAGUGGACGGCUCUCGGUAAUCGCGUGAUGUUUGCCUGGACAGAAUAAAAUCCCUUGGCGUGAAAGUAUUUUUGUCAUCUUUGCACGCCAUGCGGUAACUGGUUGUCAUUGUCGCUGCGGCAGACGGAGAGCCGGGAGAGAACACUCGGCCUGUGCCAGUUGGCUCAAGCUCUUGAAAACAAGAGGCAGACGCUGCACGAUUCUAAUCUUAAUCGUUCCAGACAUGAAGGUCACUCUCGGCUGGACUCUCAUGGCGCUCACACUGUUGUUUCUUCCAUUAAGUAAAACGUCGAUUCUGCAACCUUAAUAGAUGUGAACAAUAACAGAUAAAACUGCAAGCAGCAAUAAUCGGGGUCCAAGUGUAAUAAUCCCUUUAGCCCUUAAUCAUUUAUUGUCUAAAAUAAUAAAACUGUUCUGUUUUAUGUACUAUAUUUAGCCUAUAUUUGCAUUGCAUCAAAAUGUAAUUGUUUCACUGUUAUGUCGCCACCUUCUGUCCAAGCGCGACGAAAUAUAUUCUUUUUUUUAAACCCCUUAUUGGGUUGCUGAAACCUGAUUGGCUGAUGGCGACCAUUUAAAAAUAUGCAAAUUACCGUGCAUGGUUACUGUAAAGCUGAUUGAAACAAUGUGUUUUGUAAAGGCCAUACAAAAAAGAAAAAGGAUUUUCAGUAUUUUAACGCCACUAACUGAGCCAUCUAAAUUUAUGAUGUUUCCUCAUGGUGGCGCUCUACAUAGUCUAUAUGUAGCAAAUUUAAUCAAACUUAUUUAUUAAACCCAUAGUUUAUAGCCUUUUUAGUAAAAUAACCCCAGCAUUACUCAUUGGCUGCAGAUUUGGUUAAAAUUUUCAAGGUGAAAAUAAAUGGGGGUAUUAGGGAUCUGGAGUGCAUGAGCCAAGGAAAUUAUAAUUAUGAUUAUGAUUAAUCUGUGGUUAUGAAACACUCAUUUCACAUGGUUCAUGAAACAUAGCUAAAAAAGUGCAUAUGCAUAUAUUACAUAUGGUCCAAUUGGCAUGCUACAUUUUGGGCAUUUGCUCGAUAUUUCACAUUUCUCCAAUUUAUGAUUUUGGACUUUUUUCCCAAUUUAAUUUAAUUUUUAUUUUUUUACUUUUUUGGACUUAAAUUUUUAAUUCGGAACUAGCUCCUUGGAUCCCUAAAUAUGGCUUCAGAACAUCUUUAUGGGAAUUGAUAUUGAUAAAAUGCUAUGUGUGUGUGUGUUAUUAUUGUUAUUAUUGUACCUUACAGCAUAAAGCAAGCCAUCAGUAUUAAUAUGGGUGACUUAUAGUGAGCAAAGUAAGUUCAAGUUCAGUUGGGGUGGGGCGUGAUGUUGUGCAAGAGGAUUGGUGAGCUGUGUCCCAAGUACACUGCCUCACUCAAGGGCAUGGAUGUGGUCCAGAGACAGAAUAGAAUUCCUUCCCGCUUGUGCGAAUCUGGGCUCAGCACACUCAUAUAUUGUAUUCAAGUUAAGUAACUGCAAGGAUUUAGACGCAUACGCUUACUUGGCUAUUUAUUCACGAGCCAAUCUAGUUAUUUCAAUGGGCCUUGAGCACUUAGCGUGCCACGCUCAAGAUGGUGUCAGACUGAACCUGCACAACUUUAAUUACUCCACGUACAGUAAAUAUAAAAGGAGUUUAUGAUCACCACACUGCAGUUCACAUUUUCCUUUAUCAGAUAUGACACACAUUUCUAAAUUAGCAGUCUUGAUAAUACCCAGGGCCUAUUACCAGCAGCUCUUGCUCAGCACAUUCUGACAUUUAUUUGAGUGUUAGACUAAUAAUGGCUAAUGAGCUCCCAGUAACACGCACUCAAGACACCCAUUAAUGGAAUUGUUGCUUAAGUGGAGGAAAUAUACAUACUCUGAUGAUUAAUCUCUCCCUCUCGCUCUUGCUCUCUCUCUCUUGCACACAAAAGCCCACACAGAACUAUAGUGUACGCUCUGUAGGUAUUACUGUAUAUUGUAGCUCAGGACAGCUUACGGACAUAUGGAAAAGAAGGCAAAACUGUACUGUCAAGUGUCACUUUUCUUUUCUUAUAAAAAUGUGGGGGGAGAGAAAAUGGCUGCUCUUCUUAUGAUCAAUACACGUUAUUUAGUUAAAUCUGUAUUUAUUGUGCUUGUUGAAUGGUUUAGUAAACUGCAAUGCUCAGUCUCAAACAUGACAGUCUUAAAAUAUAUAUUUGAAAUGUUUUUGAUCCUGUAGCUUUCUGAAAACACUUUUGGCUGUCUUGGAGUCUCCUAGCAACAGCAAACAAAGGCAAGGCACAUUUCAAGUUUCCCGCGGUGCGGCCAGUCCAGCGCUGUCUUUGAUCUUGACUGGGAAAAUAGCUGAGUGGGCACUACUGGCAUUUUCCUUUCAUUUCCCCCUCCUCCUAUCGCCCUCCCUGUUCCCAAAGCCCUCGAAAUACCCCAAUUUUCAUCUGCCCCGGAAAGCUAGCACCCCUUUUAAUCGCUCAUGUCCAAGCGUUUCAUUGAAUCAGCACAUUGUUUUUUGGUCAGGUUUGACAAUAUGCUUUAAAAAGUGUUAGCUUGAGUGAAGUGCACAAAGAAAUGAUUUUAUUGCUUUGGAUACACAGGAUGGUAUAUUUUACCCUACAACUAAACAUGGUGUUAUUGGGGUUACUUGCAAGCGUAUCGUCUCCUUUUAUCCUGUUUUUCUACCUCAUUUCUCUGUCUUAGUCAGUUUGAUUUGCGCAAAUCUCCUCAUUUUGCUUUUUUCCUUAUCCUUCUCUGACACAUUAAGCUUUGUAUUUUUUGAUAGAGCUAGGACUGCUUAUCUCCUAAGAAACUUGGGACGCCCGCAGCUCGCUAGACAAAUAAUAGAGCUGCAGUGGAUUUUCAGGGUCAUGGGGCACCCACAGAGCUGUCUUAUUUAGAAUUUUACAUAAAGUGAAAUGUGUAUUGAAAACAUUUUUGAAGUUAAUACUCACAGAGAAAUAAUGCUUUGCUGGUAUGUCCUGUGGUGUGAAAAAAAUAGUGUGUUUUGACAACAUAAGUAAACAAAAGUAGGGAUAUCAUGAACAAUAUCUGUAGGCUAUAGAAUAUUAUAACAUCCCACAGAGUUAAGUUUACAAGGAAAAUAUAAACAAGGGAAUCACAAUAUACGGGACGAAGAUGAAAAAAUCAAAACAAACUCUUCAUUGUUUUGGUAUAAUUUGCUGUAACCGAUGUUCGUAUUUAUGACAGACACAGUCAUUUAGGUUGCUUUAAUGUCGCUCUUGGUCUUUGUGGUUAGUGCGAUGCCUGAAUCUGUUACUGUUUAUUGUCUGAAAAUAAAAUUUUUCUUUUUAGGUCUUUGUUUUUGACAAAGCCAUACGGACUUGAUAAACCCUUUGCAUUUGAACGAGUCACAUUUCUCAUUCUCUUAGUGAAUGGUACUGUUUUUUAUUUUCUUCUCAUGUUGUUUGAGGUGACAUGCUUUGGGGUUGUGCGAGGCCAUCCUGAGUCCUAUAAUUUUUCAGAAACAAAUAUAUGAGAGGUCAUUUGCAGUGUUUUAUGUACGUGAUUAGUGUACAUGAAAUUUUAGGAAAGGGAAAACAAUUAUGAUACAGAAGGCAUGGGGGUGGGAAGACUUUCAUGAGUUCCCUAAUUGGGGUUCAAAGUGGGAUUAAAUAUGACCAUUUUUGUCCCUAUGCCACACAUUAUAUUUAUAUAACUGUGAAGUCUGUUCAGGGACCCAACUAUUUUAACCAUGAAGUGUGUCAUUUGCCAGGGGAAGCAAACGUGAGACAGAAUUCCCACCCCCAAUCCGUCUGUAAGCAUCUUGUUUCCAAGAGGCAAGGUGGGAACAUUUAGUAUUGUCAACCAGCAGUUGAGUCCUAUUGGAAGAAUGACCCUAUACUCCAGGGCGUUGUCCAUGCCGAAAAGCGCUAGUAGGCUAAUCGGUUGCACCACCUUCUUGACAUGGCUUUUCAACGGCCUCGUUUUCUUAUCAUUUAAAAUUUCUGCCUGCAAUUCUUAGCAGCUAAAUAAGCCUGAUUAUCCUCAGUGAUUAAGACAUCCUCUGUCAGAACAGCAUGCAGUGCUGUAGCAUCCCAGAGCCUUUCUAUUCUGCUAAGGCAGAGGUUUGAUUUUGGGUGGUUAAUGAUUUUAGCUGUGGAUGUUAAAAAAAAAUGCAAUAUAUGCCUGUUAACAGCUAAAAUUUCUUAAUGAUCUCCUCAGGCUUACAUUCUCCUCAUAAACUACCAUUCAGGUUUUCCUUGGUCUAUACAACUAUUUCCUAAAGGGAAAGCAUCCUCAGAAAAAAAAAAGAUUCUAACAACAACAACACUGGAACCUCCAAGUGUGGUCAGGUCUUGUUUAUGUAGUGAAACCCCAUCAUCCUCACUCACGAAUGCUUUGAAGAGCUUGUGAGGUCAGGUUUUAAAUUAUGGCGUGUUCUCACACAGCGUCCUCGCUCUCCACUAGUGCAAAUCCAUUUGCCACACAAUGCAUUUCAAAUCAAAGCUGCAUCACCAUAAGACGCCUUAGGAGACAUUAAGCCAUACUAUGUUACUUUCAUGUACGAUAGCAUGGCUCCUGUAUGCUUUGAAGUGCUCUCUUUUUUAAUGCCUUAUUAAUAAUACCACACAGGCUACCUCUGACUCUUUGGAUGCUGUUUUCUCUCACUCUCUUCUCUGUCUUUAAUGCAGGUCUUUAGGGCUGUGUUUAUGGCCUGGUGAUUAGAGGGUAUAUAGACUACUAGAUGAGGGGGCAAAUAGGGGCUCAAGAAUGCAGCUCUUCCGUGUCCGUCUGCCAUGAGGCAGGCGUUCCAGUUUGGCUGCUGAAAGCUGGCCUCGCUGAACCACGGGGUCAACGCACCUCCAGCGCUACUCCAGCUUGUGCUUCAUCCUCUACCGCACCGGGGGCACCUGGCACCCCUCCCUACCAUGGCAGGCCAGAUCAAUGGUAAGAUCCAUUCGAGCAGGAUGACCGGAGGUCGGCAUCAAAGGCCCCCUGCUUGUCUCGCUGCCACCUGGAGCUCAGCGAGGGUCAUGGGCCGCCUGGGCCACCACUGCCUCCUCUUCCUUUCAGCUGGCUGGGUAUGCAGACUGGGACCCGGUCAGGGUAUGAGCUGGCUCUGCCCUGGCCCAGCCACCCACAUGGGGAGAGGGCCAGAGGUCAAGACCAUCAGAGCACUUUGCUUCAUCUGAUGAGAGGAUCUGGUCUGGUUUUAAUGAGGCAACACUGAUUCCACAUCCAUUACGCAUGUGAGCAGUCCUAAUGUGUGGAUUGUACUAGAUGUAAUGCUGUGAUUUUCCUUCCAGUCACUGGAUGCAGAGAAAGCCUCUUAGCUGUUUAUGGGUAUAUUUUAAUACCAAAAGUAAAGUCUUGUUUCAAAUGCAUGUUACAUAUUAACUUUUUCACUUUAAAGGGGUCUCUUAAGUGGUGUAAAAUGCAGUAAUUCCUCAAAUAAUGAGAAUAAAAUUGAUAGUUCACUCGAAUAUUUUAAUUCUCUUAUUAUUAUUAUAAUGAGUUUCUUUCUACUGCUGAACACAAAAGGAGAUAUUUAGAAUUUUUAAUGUCAUAAAAGUCAAUGGCAUCCAAAAACAAUUGAAACAUUCUUCAAAAUACCUUCUUUUUUUUGUUCAGCCGAAGAAAGUCUUACAGUUUUGGAACACGAUGGGAGAAUUGUCAUUUUUUGGGUGAACUAUCCCUUUUAUUCAAAUGACUAUAAUUCUGUGAGUUUUUAAAAAUGAUUAAUUUCAGCAGACAGUAGAUGGCCAAUUAUUGUGGAACAUAUAUUUAUUCAUACAACGUUUCCCAUAUGAACACUGUGGCUCCCUUCAGCAAAAUGUUGGUCAUAUGGUGAAAGAACAGGCAAUUAUUUUCAUGCAGCUGUCAAUACUCUGAACAGGCUAAUACAGUCUAAUUAAAUGUCAUUUCUUGGGCCACUAAUGAAAAUGAACAACUCAGAGGGGUUUUUAAUAUCGCUGUGAAGCGCUUCAACUGCCGGAGCCCUGCAGUCGAUGACUUGAUCCUUCUAUGUCCCUUACUUGUGUGAUGAGGGAUGAAAGGGGACGCAAUGAGAGACACAGAGAGAAAGAGAGAAAAAAAGGCAAGUUUGGCAAGUAGAGGAGUGAAGGGGGAGACAGAUGGCGUGAAGUCUGCAUCUCUUUGGCGUUGGGCUCAUGGCGCUAAAAUCCUCCCUCUCACACAUUCCAACAAAUCCAACCAGGAGGCUCAGGAGUAUGUUCCACUGCUCUCGAAAUGAAGCAUCUGACCAGGAUAGAGCCACGCGCACACACACACUUUCUCACUGUCUCUCUCCCUCUUUCACACACGCGCACACAUACAUUCACACACUGUCAGUCACCCGUAACCUAUCCAGAAGUUUACAUUUUUAUUAGUAUGUCACCCGUUCCGGAGUUUAUUGGCUUGUUAAAAUAGGACGCUUUGGGAGUUGGGGAAGAGAGAACAUGGGGCCAUGACUGGAAAUAUUGCAGUGGAGAAAAGGAGACCAAGUGCCAUUCAAGUGUAAAAUCUCAUUGAGUAAACAUGGGGCCAAGGCAUGGAAACAAAGUGCGUGCAAUCCAUUCGCAGCAGAAGAAAUGAGCUUUGCAGUUAGUCAUGCUAGUCACCACAUUAGCCUGUGCUCCUGAUAAGUUUCCUGCCAGUCAGGCCUGCCAGUUUGGACCGAAGUUGUACGUCUUUUUAAUUGGCACUUCUAAAAUAAAAGUAUAUAAAGUUGAUCUGCUUGGCAUAUACAGUAAAAUCUAUGCAUCCCGUGUGAUCUCUCAGUCAACCGAACUUCUGUUCUGUGCCUCAAUGUGGUUUUAUGAAGCAGCGAAGCUUUAUUUUAACCGAUUGCUAUAUUUUAUUUGUCAUUUAGCUGAAAUGUACCGCUAAUAGUUGUUGACAUAUAAAACGACCAUGUGUUCCUCCUGUCAGCCAGAUGCAAAAGGCACAGAUGGGCUUCUUUUUUUCCAAAUGGAGCUCUUGAUAGCAGACAAUUAAUGUGCCUUUGAUUGCGCUCUACAGUACUCUCCCAUUGAUUCUGGAAAAUGUAUUCAUUGAAGGCAUAUGAUCAGCUACGGAUGAAUCUUGUCAGAUGUGCCAAAUCACAAAUGAAACGCUUUAGUGCCUCUCCCUCCAACCUCCAGGGCUAAGAGCUCUUGCAUGACACGCACUCACACAUACGCGCACACCACUCUCUUCCUCUCUCGCUGCUUCUCUAUCUCUGUCGCUCACGCUCUAGAUGGAUGGCUGAGUUCUGCCUUCUGUUUGCGCUGCCAUACUAAUGAAUGAGUCAGCUGGGAAUAUGUAAUACUGUGAAAAGGUCACCGGAGGCAUGUGUAUCACAUUACUGUUAAUGAUAAUAAAAAGAACAAUCUGUGCAAAUCCA